UCCGCCGGCCCCCGUGGCCCCCGCGCUCCGCUGCCCUCGGGCUGCACGCGGCCGGCUGCGCUCCAGCCUCCAGGGGGCGCGCGCGCCGUGUCUCGUGCUUCCCCCGGGUUCAAGGGCCCAGGUGGUCCCGGUCCCCUGGCGCCACUGCCGCAGGCGCCAACGUGCCACGUCCAGCCCCCACGCUCCGCAGCCCCGGGGCCGCAGGCUCACGCGCUUCGUUUUUGUGCGGCCCCGCGCGUCUGUCCUGAGCUUCCCUGGAAGUCCAAGCGCGCCAUUGGCCUUGGACCCCUCGGGCCACUGCGGGCCAGGGAGUGCAGACACCUUGCAGCGUCAACGUCUUAGGGACAGCACGUGCCACGCCAGGGGCCCUUCCCUUCGAGGCCCCGUAUGCUACCGCCCACGUGGCCCAGCUGCCCCGCACCCCGGCCGACGCGGGACACGGGGGUCCCCGGCUCGGCCCAGGCAGGCAGCCCGCUGGGAGCGACGCCUCGCCUCUGAAUUGGCCCAUCUGGACCUUUGAGCCGCUCUGUGAAAGGGCUGUCCCCGGGAGCUGUGUCUAUCAGGACGCUGUGCACCUGUGUCCGAUGUUGGGGUGACCUGUGGACAGAGGACCCACAGCACAGAUGGGGACCUUGGGCCACAGCAACGCCAGAUCUGAGGCACAUCUACAAUCUACACCAUAGCUCACAGCAACGCCGGAUCCUUAACCCACUGAGCAAGGCCAGGGAUCAUCCUCACGGAUCCUAGUCAGGUUUGUUAACCACUGAGCCAUGAUGGGAAGUUCCCUCCUGUUUCCUGUCAGGGCCCCCUCCCGCAC